rnacentral:lncRNA from 1 species
GCACUUAAGUGUACUUACAUGGUGAAAAUCCGCCAUGUAAGUUUUGGGGUUUAUUAAAAACCCCAAAUCCAGACAGAACGCAUUCUGUUCUUAUUUUCUCCACUGCCGCCACCGAUCUCUAUCGUCGCUGCUCUCCGUUGCGUCCGUCGCUGCCUCCAUUCUCGCCGUCGACCGCUUGCCUGCUCUUGCCUCCGGUAGACGCCUCGUCCGUCCCUACUGUGGUCUAGUCGCCGGUCCGUUUUGGUUAGUUUUAAUUAGUUUUUGUGAUUUUGGUGAUUUUUGUGAUUUUUGAUUUUUGAUUUCAAUGAAAUGUUUAUCUAUGUGAAGAAAUAAAAUGGAUUAGAUGGG